AUGCUAUGAUGUUUACAAACUUCUGUGACGUUUUGAUAAUCAGGAGUCCAAGUGGGAGAAUUUGCUGAAGUAUCUGUGUUGGUCUAUCUCAAACAAAUGGUGAUUUGGCUAAUGUUUUAUAAUAAAUGCUCUUUGAACUUAAACGCCUGAGACUGUACGUUUGGAAUGGCGACUCCGGCUGUUUUUGGAGUCUGGCGUCUUGGAAGGCUGGAAUGUAGCAUAGAAUUGGCCAGGUGCACCCAGUUGGGUCAAAUGCUACUAAACUACUAAAGCUACUGAACCCGGAGUGAAAGAAACCCUCACCAGACUUCAGUAUGUUGCCCUGCACAUCUGUACUGGGUUGGACUCUUCUACUCUACUAGCAACCAAUAAGGAGAAGUUGUAAAAAACAAAGAGCCGAAGCCCUCAACUGUUCUCAUGAACCCAUCAGAUAACAUGGUGGCAUACCAAAUCAGCUCACCAUGGGACUGUUGAGAGAGGGAGAGACAAACUGCAACAAGAGAGAGCAAGAAGAGGGAGGAACGGAGGCAUCACUUGACCCGAAUGAAAGAGGCAAAGGCGAAGGAGCAACAGAGACUUUAACGAGGGACCUGGGAGGCAGUGGAGAGGGAUGGAGUUUGGGAGGGACAGACUGGCUCGGUGAAUGAGUGAAAUGAGGAGUAAGGAGAAGGAAAGGAGGGAGGGCUGGAGAGUGUGAGAGGACCUCACUUUGUGGCUGCCACAGGGGCCUGAGUGACAGAAAUUAAUAAUUAGUGACAAUGAUUGACAGCGCUCCCUCCAUCUGCGGCUCUCCGCCGCCUCGCAACGCCUGCCUCCGCCAGCGACCGCGGGCACAAUGAGCUCCAGAGGGAUUGUGGGAGACGCACUUGAUUGACAACUGCCUCCUGGAGA